AUUGAACGCUGGCGGCAGGCCUAACACAUGCAAGUCGAACGAGUGGCGGACGGGUGAGUAAUGUCUGGGAAACUGCCUGAUGGAGGGGGAUAACUACUGGAAACGGUAGCUAAUACCGCAUACCAUCAGAUGGGCCCAGAUGGGAUUAGCUUGUUGGUGGGGUAACGGCUCACCAAGGCGACGAUCCCUAGCUGGGCUGCGAGGAUGAUCGGCCACACUGGAACUGAGACACGGUCCAGACUCCUACGGGAGGCAGCAGUGGGGAAUAUUGCACAAUGGGCGAAAGCCUGAUGCAGCCAUGCCGCGUGUGUGAAGAAGGCCUUCGGGUUGUAAAGUACUUUCAUCAGGGAGGCGUUACCCACACAGAAAGCACCGGCUAACUCCGUGCCAGCCGCCGCGGUAAUAC
rnacentral:rRNA from 1 species